AUUGAACGCUGGCGGCAUGCUUUACACAUGCCAGUCGAACGGUAACAGGCCUUCGGGUGCUGGCGAGUGGCGAACGGGUGAGUAAUGCAUCGGAACGUACCCAGAGGUGGGGGAUAACGCAGCGAAAGCUGUGCUAAUACCGCAUGUGAUCUGAGGAUGAAAGCGGGGGACCGAGCAGCAAUGUUUGGCCUCGCGCCUUUGGAGCGGCCGAUGUCGGAUUAGCUAGUUGGUGGGGUAAAGGCCUACCAAGGCGACGAUCCGUAGCUGGUCUGAGAGGACGACCAGCCACACUGGGACUGAGACACGGCCCAGACUCCUACGGGAGGCAGCAGUGGGGAAUUUUGGACAAUGGGCGCAAGCCUGAUCCAGCAAUGCCGCGUGCGGGAAGAAGGCCUUCGGGUUGUAAACUGCUUUUGGCAGGAACGAAACGGUGUCCGCUAAUACCGGGCGCUAAUGACGGUACCUGCAGAAUAAGCACCGGCUAACUACGUG
rnacentral:rRNA from 1 species